GGAAUUGACGGGGCUCGCACAAGCGGUGGAGCAUGUGGUUAAUUCGAAGCAACGCGAAGAACCUUACCAGGUCUUGACAUCCCCUGACAACCCGAGAGAUCGGGCGUUCCCCUUCGGGGGACAGGGUGACAGGUGGUGCAUGGUUGUCGUCAGCUCGUGUCGUGAGAUGUUGGGUUAAGUCCCGCAACGAGCGCAACCCUCGACCUUAGUUGCCAGCAUUCAGUUGGGCACUCUAAGGUGACUGCCGGCUAAAAGUCGGAGGAAGGUGGGGAUGACGUCAAAUCAUCAUGCCCCUUAUGACCUGGGCUACACACGUGCUACAAUGGGCGGUACAAAGGGUCGCGAACCCGCGAGGGGGAGCCAAUCCCAAAAAGCCGCUCUCAGUUCGGAUUGCAGGCUGCAACUCGCCUGCAUGAAGCCGGAAUCGCUAGUAAUCGCGGAUCAGCAUGCCGCGGUGAAUACGUUCCCGGGCCUU
rnacentral:rRNA from 1 species